rnacentral:lncRNA from 1 species
UCUCUAAAGAAUUAGCAUAAAACCCUAGGUAUCUUUUUAAAGCCCAAGGCCCCCACGCCUCAAGAGAAGAAAAAGCCAUCUUUUGGCGUUUGGAAAUCCCUAAAAAAUAGAGAUUUCCACGGCUGAAUAGAGGGAGUCCAACUCCCUUUUUCUUCUCUUUUAUUCGGUGCAUUGACUUCGUAGAAAAUAGGGAGUCAUGCACCCAAAGAAGGAGUGCUGCAUUCCCUUAUUAGACGCCAACCAUUGGCUCUUAGAAAAUAGGGAUUCAAUGCUAUCUUCUUUAGAAGUUUUGUGGUGCCACCUCUUUGGAAUAAUUCUCCCACGCCUCCUCUGAUUUCUCAAACCAACAAUUGGCCCAAAAAUGAAGAGAGGCGUCAUGAGUCUGGGAAGAUAUGAUGAGGUGUCAAUCUUCUCCAAGAAGGAAAGCUAGAUUCCUAAUUUUUAGAGAUUCUUCUUCUUUUCAAAUUCUGAAUUUUUUAACUUAGAUUCCUUAUCAAAUAAGGACUUCUAAUUGACUCGGGUCAAGUCCAAUCCAAUUUGGUCAAGUCCAUCAAUUUGGUCAAGCCAAAUCUACUUGGGUCGAACCCAAUCCAAUUAGGUCAAACCCUGAUGUAGCCCAAAUUGAAUCUUAUUCAAUUUGGCUCAACCUAAGCCCAAUCAUUCAAUCAAAUUUAGUUCAUUAGCAUUCUAAUUGCCAAUUAAUUCUCCAAUAAUUCAAUAAUUAUUUUACUGCAACCUUUGCUUAAGGUAAUUUGUCAAUCGAAUUGACCAAUGUACCUCUAGACGAUUCUUAAUCAUCUGUCAGCCAUUUGAUCAAUCCAAAAACUUCUAUGCAUGUGAUCCCAUAGGUUCGAACCUAAGCCGGUAGCACAAGAACAAUUUUUUGACUAAUCAAAAUUGUUGCCCAGAUAGACAACCCA